rnacentral:rRNA from 1 species
GAUGAACGCUGGCGGCGUGCCUAAUACAUGCAAGUCGAGCGAACGGACGAGAAGCUUGCUUCUCUGAUGUUAGCGGCGGACGGGUGAGUAACACGUGGAUAACCUACCUAUAAGACUGGGAUAACUUCGGGAAACCGUAGCUAAUACCGGAUAAUAUUUUGAACCGCAUGGUUCAAAAGUGAAAGACGGUCUUGCUGUCACUUAUAGAUGGAUCCGCGCUGCAUUAGCUAGUUGGUAAGGUAACGGCUUACCAAGGCAACGAUGCAUAGCCGACCUGAGAGGGUGCUCGGCCACACUGGAACUGAGACACGGUCCAGACUCCUACGGGAGGCAGCAGUAGGGAAUCUUCCGCAAUGGGCGAAAGCCUGACGGAGCAACGCCGCGUGAGUGAUGAAGGUCUUCGGAUCGUAAAACUCUGUUAUUAGGGAAGAACAUAUGUGUAAGUAACUGUGCACAUCUUGACGGUACCUAAUCAGAAAGCCACGGCUAACUACGUG